GGGUACGAUCAUACCAGAACUAUUGCACCGGAUCCCAUCCGAACUCCGCAGUUAAGCGUGCUUGGGCGAGAGUAGUACUAGGAUGGGUGACCUCUUGGGAAGUCCUCGUGUUGCACCCC
rfam:Gossypium raimondii scaffold_860_contig_1, whole genome shotgun sequence.